ACCCUCUCACUCUCUCCCAACAGGCUGUGGGCCUCUGGGAAGGCUCUUCCCCACAUCAAGUCCCUAGCCCCGGCCCCGCACAGUGCCCCCAUGGGUACCUCAGGCUGUCCUGGGGUUCCCGAAGACCUCAUCUUGUCUCCACUGUCUCCUCAGAACCCAACACAAGCCUGGCCCAAAUAUGGAGCAGAAGUACAAGGCCUGAUGGGGUGAGGACCCCCCACCAGGUCCACUUUUGUUGUUGUUGUUGUUUUCCAAGGUUUAUUGAAGAUAUUACAGCACAGCAGAAAGAUUCAAACAGCUCCCCGUGGUGCUUUGAAAUUCAUCCCAACUGUAGGCUGAGUGACCUGCAGGUGGUCCCUCUGCUGGGGGGUGCCCGCCCAGACCCAGGCCGGAGGGCCUGCAUCUCCAUGUACCCUGUCUUAAGUCUGGCAUGAAGUUUAAAGUCCACUCCCAUAUGCGGACUUUAAGCCACAUAUGAUGCACCUUCCACCACUCGAUACUAACAGUCCUUCCAAACCCGUUUUCUUUUGCAGGGGCAAAAUGGGGUAGAUGUUACUUCAUUGGAGGACCCCACACAGCCCAGUCUGGUGGAUAGCCGAGACCACCACUAUCUUCCCCUCAUUGAGUCUAACACGAGUGACAGUACACUUCGAAGAAGCUGUGACUCUACAGAUGGCUUCUGCUUUAGGUUUGGAGUAGUUCCACCUCUUUCUGUGGAAUAAGAUGGAUUUCUUCAGAUCAAGUUAAAGCUCUUAAUUGCUUGCAGGUUGGGUCUGUCUGUCAAGCAUGGAUUCUGUGAGUUCUCUUUAUGUGGAAAAUAACAACAUGAACUAUUCUGCUUGACAGUGUGGCUGUCAGUGAGAACUCGAGCCCAGGAGUGCUUGGACAAUAUAUGAAAAUGAUCACGAGACCUGAGUUCAGCCGUUAUGUAGGACAAACGCAGCUACCAGAGAGUACGUGUGUGAAAGUGUUUGUGCUGCUAUGCAAGCCAUGUCGACUCGAGUCAACGACAUGACUCGAUACAGCCAGUUUCUGUUCAGGCUCGCCCUGUCACAAUGUAACAUGGAGAUGCAGGUUCAAGAUGAAUUUCAAAAACUGGAAAAAACAAAUCAGGUCAAGUGAAGUAAAUUCAGUUUUUAUUCUUCUAUACAAUACAUGGAUAUAUGCAUAAAUUUCUCCUUAAAGAGCUUGCAACCCUGAGGCAAUGUCCUUGGGUAUAUAAAGUAUAGAAUAAUAGCAAAUGAGAUCUGAGCUCCAGGAAUGAAAUCGGACUUCAAGAACAUAAUUUACUAUGAAUGAGCCUGCACAUAUACCAAUAGUAUCUAUGCCUCAUCUAAGCCUUUUCAUCCAACUAUUAUGAUUGCCUCAAGCUCUGUACAUCAGUCUGACUCUCCAGAUGAUACAUCAUAUCCAGCACCUUCCUUUCCAACUGAAAUUUAAUAAAUUAGCAUGGAAUUUACA
rnacentral:lncRNA from 12 species